UAGAUCUUUACGACGCAUUCUGGUCAGCGGUAUUAGUCAACAUGGCGGUCCGUUCGAAUACUGUAGAUGGAUGAAUCUUCAAAGAACUCUCAUUAUAAUGUGUUACAGACGAAUUAGUGGAGGGAAAAGGGGCGGACUUUCCAAACAGCUCUUGGUGAUUGAGGCGGACAGAAGCACUUGAACUUGUCAUCCACAAUAUAGCAUGAGCCACCAUUAUGGCAAGGGUCAGGGAGGCAGACUUCAGAUGUCCUUUUUUGUGCAGCUUCGAUGCCAUACUCUGCAUCUCCUAGAAACAGUCAUAGCAUACCACUCAAUUUCACAAAACAAACCCUCAAUCCAGACUAGACUAUGUACAUUCUGUAAGUAUGUUGUAUGUUGCUGGGUUGCCUGUGUGCUACCCACUCAUGCACAGUUUACAGAAGAGCCAUGUUUGUUGUACGAUGAAGUAAACAGUUAAAACCUGAGCUAAUCAACACUAUAGAAGUGAGAUUUUCUGAGGCCUUAUUCAACUCAUGUCUCUGUUUCCAGGGAAAGAGAAAAAAUGGACCAUUAUGUCCAUAUUUCUUAGAUGGGGGAGGGGAGUUCACGGGUAGGUGGAGAGGGGAGAGGAUAGCUCACCCUCCAAAGCAAGGUUUAAGAAGUAAUAACAAUAGAUUAACAUUUGAAAUCUAAUACUGAAUAUUACCGGAAAAACUUUGGUUGCGGCUUUUAAACAGUUUUCGCUUUGCAGUCAAAGAAGCAGAAUCACAAAAA